GUAUAACACAUCUAGGUUUAUUAUUUAUUACAGAGGAAAGAAUUUUAGAGAAUUUUAAAAGCUGUAUUGUCUUUGUACAGAUGGAGCAUUAUAAUACUGAAGAGAGAAAUUGAAGUUUCAGCCAAAAUUUUGAAAAGUUUCAGAUUUUUUUUUUGCAUAAUCUUCAGAUAAAAGUUUUUUUGGAUGAUCCAAUAAUUAGAUCACCCUCCCCCAUGCAGGUGGCCACCGCCCCAUCUUCUCAGGGCUUACACAAGACAAAGAUGUGGAGGGGAUGAAUUCGCUCUCUGGAUAAACUAGGAAGUCCGUCCUGAAAGCAGCAGAGGUCCCAGCGUGAUCACGUGAUGUGAGGAGGCUUUCUUGGCACUCAGGCUCACUGGCUUUGCCACAGACACUGAUGACCAACCUCGCUCCUCCCUGUAUGCGUUAGCAAAGCUAAUCAGUAGAUCUAUUGGAAACAAUCAUCGUUUAGAGAUUACACUACAGGCUGCUUGAGUGUCAGAAGCACAGUACAUCAUUAGUGUUUUCUUGGAGCACUAGUGGAGGACUACUGAUCUGUCAGUUUUUCUUGAAUAAAGAAGCCCCUUUUCCAAGAGAGACUAGGAAGUGCAGAAUUUGUAAGAUUCUUCUUCAUGGAGCACAGCAUGAGCACAUCAGAAUGCAGACUCCCCCCUCAGUGCUAUUAUAUGAGGUCCACAUGCUGAAAUUCUAACCAAACUACAUCACAAGACCUUUUCAUAUUCCCUGGUAGCCAUGUCCCUCCAUUUGGCACUGAUGCAGCUGUUUAUUUGGAUCUACAUGUCUAGCGAUGAUGGCUGAUUUCCUGGAUUGGACAUUGACUCCAACAAGGCAAGAAGGAUUCAUUUUUAAAACACUUAUGAAAUUUAUGAGAUGAGUGGAAUGGAAAGAAUUUUUAAUAAUCCAAGCACCAGUAAACCUCUUAUAAGAGCAGUGUUAUA
rnacentral:lncRNA from 1 species